CCAAAAAUAGGGUGCAGUCCUCAGGUCAUGCAUUCACAAGGCAGGAAAUCAACUCUCCCAGCAAGGCCAAAUAUAAACCGACUUUAGGACGCAGCAAUGAAAACCCUACAAGCAACCCUCUAUUAAUUUCCACAAUCUCUCUCUCUCUCUCCUUUUUUUUUCUUCUUCAAAUUUUCCUUUUCUUCGUCAUCAGCGUAUCAAUCUUUUAUGAUCUCUUUCUUGGUUUGUGUUGUUCUUUACCGUAACCAGAUUGAUCCUCAAGAUCUAUACUUUUAAUUGGUCUUAAUAAUUUGCUAUAAGAGUAGCAGCUGGUAACUUAAUUAUCUAACUAUAACUUGAUCAAAAAUCAUACAUGAAACAUACUGAUCACCUACAUAUACAAAAGAAAUAAUAAAGGUGUAGUUUAGAGGUUAAACAAGGUGGAUCGAAGGCAUGGGAAGCGGCCUCUUCCUUUCGAUGCAUCCGAGGAGAAAAAGGAAGAAGACAUUAACAUAUUCUCUCUAUACUCAUCAUAUGAACAGAAGCUGUUUCAACAAGAUACUUCUUCCAUGGCUGCACCCUCAGGCGCCCUUGCACAUCAUCUCAUCGCCCAAACUCAUAUCUUGCCUCACCAGCAACAGCAAGCAACUCAUCAUCACAAGUCUCUCGUGACAGAUCAGCAAGCGCAGCCCAAGCCUCCUGCUCAGGAUCCAGGAAAAGUAGGAAGGAGGCACUAUAGAGGUGUAAGGCAGAGACCAUGGGGCAAGUGGGCAGCCGAAAUCCGUGACCCCAAGAAGGCGGCUAGAGUUUGGCUGGGUACAUUUGACACUGCAGAAGCUGCAGCAGCUGCUUAUGAUGCAGCAGCCUUAAAGUUUAAAGGAAGCAAGGCCAAACUCAAUUUUCCUGAACGUGUUCAAGGAGGACUUGAGUUGGGCUUCUUAGCAUGUUCAAAUAAUAAUAAUCCAAUCGCUGCAGCUCCAAGCUCAGUUAUUUCUUGUUCCACUCCACAACCUCCCCCUUCAUUUCCAAAUAUUUCUCGUAGUGACUUAUUAUCCAAUGAAGCAUUCCCAUAUCUAUCACAGUAUGCGCAGCUGCUUUCUGGUAACGAUAUUGAUAACCGUAGGCAAUAUGUUGAAUCGGGCCUUCAUAAUCAACAACCUCUGAUCUCGCAAUAUUCGUCAUCACUGAGUACUUCUUCAACCACUAGUACUACUUAUUCAGCAAUAUUGAUGCCUCAAAAUCAACUAGAUGAGGAAGAGUUGCGAAGGUUUUCAUCAUCAGCAACAGCACAGAUGAGAAGCUUCUCUUCUGGCUCUCAUCUAUUUCUUAAUCCUGGGAAAGAUUCUGAUGAUAGUAAACAAAAGGAGUAGCGCUUUGCGCGCAGUUGCAGCAUGGUCAGGUACAUGAAUUACGGCAGGAUUGAUUCUUGGUUACACCUGUCCUGUGUCUUCUUGAUCAUGGGCGGAUGGGGUGAUUUAGCUUAAUUUCGCUUUGAGACUACGUCGGUGUUUAGAACGAAUGAAACCAUGAACUAUGAUGAGAUGAGAUGGAUAAUGCAACAACAGUAGUAUUAAUUAUUCUAGCUUAUACUAUAUGCUAGCUAGUAGUUUAUUAUGAACAAUAUUCUCACUAUAAUAUUAAUUAAGAAGAUAAAUAAUUAAGUAUGUCUAGAUUCCUUUUGUUCAUUGAAUGCAUGCUAGUCCUAUAUAUAGAAUGUACGUUUAAUCCUGAUUAAUUACUGAUCACUUAAUGUAGUUUUCCUACGACGACGUGCCGACUUCAAACUUAGCUCAGUUCAAACCUUCAAUCAACAUCUGGUUUGGCAAAAUUAUAUGUUGAAAAUAAUAAUUAAGUUAAAGUCGUGGCUUGGGUUGGCGAUAUCAUUAAAAGACAAACAAGUAGCUAGCUAACUAGUAAAAUUAAGAAAAUCUGUCAUUUUAAUAAUGAUUUGCAAUUUUGAAUGUCAUCUUUAAGUAGAUUAAUUGUGACUAGUUAAAGGCCCUUUGUCGGAUUCUUUAAUCCCUAAAUAUAGAAUUGUCACCACUGAAUUAAAGACAGAUGCAUCUCCCUUUGCCAAGCCGCAGCCCACAAUCCAAAAGCCAAAGGCGGUGCAUGCUUUCCACACCCCACGCUGCUGUCUGCGUCAAUGUUUGCGGCGUUUGCUUUCUCUCAAUUGUUACUUACUUUACGUAUGACUCUUACAAGUUGAUGUGAUAUAU